rnacentral:lncRNA from 1 species
AGCAGCCGGGCUGUGGGAAGAUGGGUGAGAGUCAGCUCUCUGAGUGCUUGGCGGCAGGCGGUCAGCUCAGCUGGUGGGAACAGCAGGACGGUGUGGACGUCAGCCUGGCACGGGGCAGGGGUGCCCCUCAGCAGAAUGGCAUGGGGGCUGUGGCAAGCUCCCCUCCAUCUCUGGUCCCUGGAGUCAGACUAGACCUUCGCCGCAUCCGGCUCGAAGGCUCGGAUGGAUGAUGGAUUGCCCGGCCCAUCUUCCCCGGGGGGUUGGAUCUGAGACCAUCAGCAUCCAGCAGCCGUGAGUGUGAUGGAUGAACCGAGGCCAGUCACCUAGUGGGGAAACGACAUCUCACAUUUAAAGAACACCAGGCGUUUCUACACAGCGGGGGAAGGAAAUCCGUCCUGAUUUUAAACUUUGGCACAGCUGUGAAACCGAGGGUAGUGAACUCUGAGGAGAGGACUCUUUUCUGGACAUACAUUUAACGUCCGUGAAAGCCUCAGACCCCCUGAGCACACCUGCCUAGCCGUGUUGUGGACGAACAAGGGCUGAC